UACGAAGGGGGCUAGCGUUGCUCGGAAUCACUGGGCGUAAAGGGUGCGUAGGCGGGUUUUUAAGUCAGAGGUGAAAUCCUGGAGCUCAACCCCAGAACUGCCUUUGAUACUGAAAGUCUUGAGUAUGGGAGAGGUGAGUGGAACUGCGAGUGUAGAGGUGAAAUUCGUAGAUAUUCGCAAGAACACCAGUGGCGAAGGCGGCUCACUGGCCCAUAACUGACGCUGAGGCACGAAAGCGUGGGGAGCAAACAGG
rnacentral:rRNA from 1 species